rnacentral:lncRNA from 1 species
CAAUUUGUUAAGAAGGCAUGCUGUUUUGCCCUUGAUCCAAAUUCAAGUUGAUUUAUGAUCCCUUUUUAGGAUGACAAUACAAAAUAGAAAGAAUAGGAGCUAUUACAUAUAUGAUAUGUUUGGUCGCUACUUUUUGUAAUUUGGUGGAUAUGGUUACAUUUGUAAGGAAACAAGCAUCAAGAUCCUAUGCAGCAUCAUAGAUAUGCCACCAUAUAACAUGCAGAGAAAGGAGAGUAAAAGAGUCAAAG